GGAGGUGCCCAGCCCAGAGGCUGCUCUUUCCUGGUUAAAAGGAGAGCAGAGGAGGUGUUAGCAUCUGCCCUGGUGCGAAACUGAGGCCUGCUCCUCGAUGUAACUAGAAGGAUGCAAGGAACUAGGAUGAAAUUUUGUCUGCUGUGGCUUGAUUUUAUUUAACACCUUAUGCAUGUGCCUCAAAAAUGAUGUUGGGGAACCCCAACUGCAUCCUCCUAAGGCCCCUCUCUGGGAUAUGCAGGCCUUGGUGGUCUUGUUGGUCAUUUCCUGUGUAAAAGUUUGUGCAGCAUGCCUCCAGUUGUGUAAAGAAUGUAAAAGGGAAAUGUCUCAAAACAGAAGAAGACGCCUGUGGGCAGCACCUUCUGCAGAGUGAUCCUGGGAGCUGGAAAGAAGACUCACUUUUCAUUUUACAACCUUGGGCACUGUAAGGAUAUUUUGGGCUUGCACUGUGGAAUAGUCAGCCCACAUCCCUAUGGAACCACCCACCUUUCCAAAAAAUCCUCCAAGCUGGUAAAGGCUGGAUUGUCAAGGAAGUCCCCCACUGUGCCUUUUUCUUUCUGGCAGCCCUCUGCUCCAUUGAUGAAGGUUCAGCCAGGAGUCCUGGGCUGCCCCUCCAUCAAGACCAAGCUGGCUCACGGUCACUUGUGACAAUAAGUAAAGCAUCCCCAUCAUCAUCAUCAACUGACAAAAACUGAUCCCACCCCAGUCCCCAUGCUGGGGCCUGGGUGCUAAAGACAAGAUCUCGGCUGAGCACGCCACUGCCUGGGCCUCAGAGUGAGCUAUGCGCUUGUACUUUAUAAGAUGUACCUCCGUUUAUCCACACCAUGGAUUAUACCAACUCAUGGGAUAAAUGCUAAUUCUUUUGGCAGUUUUUACAGUUUUAUUUAAACACAAACGUGCACAUGAGCUGUC
rnacentral:lncRNA from 10 species